GGGGGUUUACCCCCCUGAAGGUCCGUUGGAGACUACAACGUUGAUAGGCCGGGUGUGUAAGCGCAGUAAUGCGUUCAGCUUACCGGUACUAAUUGACCGUGAGGCUUGACCAUAAAU
rnacentral:rRNA from 1 species